CUCUCUCUCUCUCUCUCUCUCUCUCUCUCUCUCUCUCCCGUGUUUGUGUGGGCGUGGUUCCCAAUCUCGGCCUGAUUGUCUGCGCCAGCUGGAACCACUUAUCUUCCCUUUAUAUGUUCUGUAACCAGUGUUUCUUGUUGUCAGAUCGUUGUUUCUUCCCUGAGGUUGUGUCGUGUGUCCGUGCUCUUCUCUCGCCGCCCUUGUGUGGAUUAUCUGCUGUGCUCCUUCCUACCCAUCCGGACACACUCCCCUGGAUUUCUCAGCACGCUAUCAUCGGAAGAUGCGCCCGAGUCCCUGGGUCGGAUUCCGUCUGAGUACAGUCUGUCUGUCCUGUUGCUGCUGUAAACUGUAUUCAUUAAACCAUCGUUGCUUGCAUCUUGCAUCCGCCUCUGUAUUGUCACACGUAUGCAUAUGAGAUGAAUAAUGUAGGGGUGGACAAUUUCCAGUUCUGUUUCCGUAAAGAAAAGUCGAGAGCAUGUUUCCAGAGCAUGUUUACAAGAACACACAGGUCGGGUGUGGUGUUGGGGCAUCCUCUGGAGAUGGAGGGUCAGUGACUUCAGGCAAAGGGUCUCUGAAAACGUAUUUCAACAAGCUGAACACAAUCUUGAAACAGAAGGUUUCCAAUAUCAAAUGCCCUCGAAAAUAGGCUAAAUUAAUCAGAGGAAAAGUUCUAGAUCACAAAACAUCGGAGGAAUUUCGCUGAAACUUGGAACUUCCAAGCGCCGUUUUUUGUGUGUCGUCGGAUGCGUUGGCGCAGCACCUGUUGUGGUUGAGUUGACUGAAAAAAUGCAUGUCUUGUAUGCGCUCCAAGAACACAGCGUAUGAGCAGGUGAGAUCGUGGGAGAGGAGCUUCGCUACAAACUGGUGCAGUUUUAAAAAUUCCUUGACACCAUGGUCAAGCUGUGACGAAGUCGACAACAGUGUGAAACGGUGAGGAAGAAGCGAUUUGAUGGACAACCUCAUCGUCAUUGGAGACAUGUGACAUGUCCUUGAGGCUGGCUAACAGAUAGAUGGAUGAUAUUUUUACUGACUGACUGAUUUAUUUAUAUGUGAAGGCUUUGUAAUAAAUUUUUAUAACACUAUCAAUUGACAAAAUAUACGCAUCUAUUAUCUUUUUUUUCAUUCAUUUAUAUAUUCAGUCAUUCAUUUAUUCAUCCAUUCAGGCUUUCAUGCAUUUAGUUGUUUAUAGGCAAUCUACAGUUAAAUUAAACACCAUAGUGGUCACUCAACCACUAUUCUGGUAAAUGAGGGAUGUGGGUCGAGAAAAGUAACCGCUGUCAGAGAGCUAUUGAUUCAAGUAAUGAACAUCCAAGAGAUCAACAUUAUAGUUUCAAAUACAUUUUCAAGCUAUACAGUGUUUGUUUAGAUGUGUAUUGUUUCAAACAAUGUAAUAAAAAGUACAUUUGGGAUUCUGUUGAGGUAAGACCAGUGAACUGAGCUCAUUGAGCAUUUAAAAGUUAUAUAUUCUCCAAGAGUUAAUAGGUAGCCUGUGU